rnacentral:rRNA from 1 species
CCUACGGGUGGCAGCAGUGGGGAAUAUUGGGCAAUGGGCGCAAGCCUGACCCAGCAACGCCGCGUGAAGGAUGAAGGCUUUCGGGUUGUAAACUUCUUUUGUCAGGGAAGAGUAGAAUGCCGUACCUUUCGAAUAAACCCCGGCUAACUACGUGCCAGCAGCCGGGGUAAUACGGAGGGGGCAAGCGUUGUCCGGAUUUACUGGGUGUAACGGGCGUGUAGCCGGGUUGACAAGUCAGUUGUGAAAUCCUGCGGCUUAACCGGAGAACUGCAUUUGAAACUGGUGAUCUUGAGUACUGGAGAGGCAGACGGAAUUCCUAGUGUAGCGGUGAAAUGCGUAGAUAUUAGGAGGAACACCAGUGGCGAAGGCGGUCUGCUGGACAGCAACUGACGGUGAGGCACGAAAGCGUGGGGAGCAAACAGGAUUAGAUACCCGGGUAGUC